CGGGGUGUAGGUCAUCGGUAGACCGCUCGUUUCGGGUACGAGAGGCAGUGGGUUCAAUUCCCACCUCCCCGACAA
rnacentral:tRNA from 1 species